rnacentral:rRNA from 1 species
UACGUAGGGUGCAGGCGUUAAUCGGAAUUACUGGGCGUAAAGCGUGCGCAGGCGGUCUAUUAAGACAGGUGUGAAAUCCCCGGGCUUAACCUGGGAACUGCGCUUGUAACUGAUAGGCUUGAGUGUGGCAGAGGGGGGUGGAAUUCCAGGUGUAGCAGUGAAAUGCGUAGAGAUCUGGAGGAACACCGAUGGCGAAGGCAGCCCCCUGGGCUAACACUGACGCUCAUGCACGAAAGCGUGGGGAGCAAACGGG